rnacentral:rRNA from 1 species
GACGAACGCUGGCGGCGUGCCUAAUACAUGCAAGUAGAACGCUGAAGGAGGAGCUUGCUUCUCUGGAUGAGUUGCGAACGGGUGAGUAACGCGUAGGUAACCUGCCUGGUAGCGGGGGAUAACUAUUGGAAACGAUAGCUAAUACCGCAUAAGAGUAGAUGUUGCAUGACAUUUGCUUAAAAGGUGCACUUGCAUCACUACCAGAUGGACCUGCGUUGUAUUAGCUAGUUGGUGGGGUAACGGCUCACCAAGGCGACGAUACAUAGCCGACCUGAGAGGGUGAUCGGCCACACUGGGACUGAGACACGGCCCAGACUCCUACGGGAGGCAGCAGUAGGGAAUCUUCGGCAAUGGACGGAAGUCUGACCGAGCAACGCCGCGUGAGUGAAGAAGGUUUUCGGAUCGUAAAGCUCUGUUGUAAGAGAAGAACGAGUGUGAGAGUGGAAAGUUCACACUGUGACGGUAUCUUACCAGAAAGGGACGGCUAACUACGUGCCAGCAGCCGCGGUAAUACGUAGGUCCCGAGCGUUGUCCGGAUUUAUUGGGCGUAAAGCGAGCGCAGGCGGUUAGAUAAGUCUGAAGUUAAAGGCUGUGGCUUAACCAUAGUACGCUUUGGAAACUGUUUAACUUGAGUGCAAGAGGGGAGAGUGGAAUUCCAUGUGUAGCGGUGAAAUGCGUAGAUAUAUGGAGGAACACCGGUGGCGAAAGCGGCUCUCUGGCUUGUAACUGACGCUGAGGCUCGAAAGCGUGGGGAGCAAACAGG